rnacentral:rRNA from 1 species
UGGGGAAUAUUGGACAAUGGGGGAAACCCUGAUCCAGCAAUGCCGCGUGUGUGAAGAAGGCCUGCGGGUUGUAAAGCACUUUCGGUUGGGAGGACUGCAUCUAACACUAAUAUUGUUGGAAGUUGACGUUACCUUCAGAAGAAGCACCGGCUAACUCC